AUGAGACAAGUGACGGGAUUUAUAAAGAAAUAUUUCAUAAAACUGCAAGAGCGAAAUCAACCAUUGUCAAAUAGCCCCUUUUCGGUCUAAAAAACAUUGACGGAUUCUUUGGAAUCCCAGCGGGAUCUGCUGGGCGGUUGUUUACAGGACGUUGAGACAGGCUUAACUUUUGUAUACGAUCGACCAUUUCUACCGCGAUCUGCAAUGAUACGGAUCACUCUGUAGAUCGAACAAACACACGGUGUGGGAGGGCUCGCAUGAUGUGUGAGCUUCAGGUGACCCACACAGCAGACGACUCUCUUCC